rnacentral:rRNA from 1 species
UACGGGGGGGCGAAGCGUUGUCCGGAAUUAUUGGGCGUAAAGAGCUCGUAGGCGGUCUGUCGCGUUCCGUUGUGAAAACUCGAGGCUCAACCUCGGGCUUGCAGUGGAUACGGGCAGACUAGAGUGCGGUAGGGGAGACUGGAAUUCCUGGUGUAGCGGUGGAAUGCGCAGAUAUCAGGAGGAACACCGAUGGCGAAGGCAGGUCUCUGGGCCGCAAACUGACGCUGAGGAGCGAAAGCAUGGGGAGCGAACAGG